rnacentral:rRNA from 1 species
GACGAACCGUGCAAAUGUUGUUCGGAAUCACUGGGCUUAAAGGGAGCGUAGGCGGGCUAUCAAGUCUGGGGUGAAAUGCCGCGGCUCAACCGUGGAACUGCCUUAGAUACUGACGGCCUCGAGGGAGAUAGGGGCAUGCGGAACUGUAGGUGGAGCGGUGAAAUGCGUUGAUAUCUACAGGAACUCCGGUGGCGAAAGCGGCGUGCUGGAUCUCUUCUGACGCUGAGGCUCGAAAGCUAGGGGAGCAAACGGG